rnacentral:rRNA from 1 species
GACGAACGCUGGCGGCGUGCUUAACACAUGCAAGUGGAGCGACGAACCAGGGCUUGCCCUGGGGCAGAGCCGCGAACGGGUGAGUAACACGUGGGUAACGUGCCCCGAUGAUCGGGACAACCCGGGGAAACCCGGGCUAAUACCGAAUGUGCUCCCCUCACACCAGUGAGGGAUGGAAAGGAAGCUUCGGCCUCCGCAUCGGGAUCGGCCCGCGGCCCAUUAGCUUGUUGGUGAGGUAACGGCNCACCAAGGCUGCGAUGGGUAGCUGGUCUGAGAGGACGAUCAGCCACACUGGGACUGAGACACGGCCCAGACUCCUACGGGAGGCAGCAGUGGGGAAUCUUGCGCAAUGCGCGAAAGCGUGACGCAGCAACGCCGCGUGGGGGAAGAC